CUACGGGAGGCUGCAGUGGGGAAUAUUGGACAAUGGGGGAAACCCUGAUCCAGCAAUGCCGCGUGUGUGAAGAAGGCCUGCGGGUUGUAAAGCACUUUCGGUUGGGAGGACUGCUUCUAGCACUAAUAUUGUUGGAAGUUGACGUUACCUUCAGAAGAAGCACCGGCUAACUCCGUGCCAGCAGCCGCGGUAAUACGGAGGGUGCAAGCGUAAUCGGAAUUACUGGGCGUAAAGCGCGCGUAGGCGGCUAGAUCAGUCGGGUGUGAAAGCCCCGGGCUUAACCUGGUAACUGCAUCCGAUACUGUCUAGCUUGAGUACAGGAGAGGAGAGUGGAAUUCCACAUGUAGCGGUGAAAUGCGUAGAUAUGUGGAGGAACACCAAUGGCGAAGGCAGCUCUCUGGCCUGAUACUGACGCUGAGGUGCGAAAGCGUGGGGAGCAAACAGGAUUAGAUACCCCAGUAGUC
rnacentral:rRNA from 1 species